GGGCAUAGGAGGAGGGGAGCAUUUGCAACUCCAAGUGGCUCAUAGUCCUCUCCACCUCUCAG
rnacentral:miRNA from 1 species